rnacentral:rRNA from 1 species
AUUGAACGCUGGAGGCAUGCCUUACUCAUGCAAGUCGAACGGCAGCACGGGAGCAAUCCUGGUGGCGAGUGGCGAACGGGUGAGUAAAGUAUCGGAACGUGCCCAGUCGUGGGGGAUAACGUAGCGAAAGUUACGCUAAUACCGCAUACGAUCUAUGGAUGAAAGCGGGGGAUCGCAAGACCUCGCGCGAUUGGAGCGGCCGAUAUCAGAUUAGGUAGUUGGUGGGGUAAAGGCUCACCAAGCCGACGAUCUGUAGCUGGUCUGAGAGGACGACAAGCCACACUGGGACUGGGACACGGCCCAGACUCCUACGGGAGGCAGCAGUGGGGAAUUUUGGACAAUGGGCGAAAGCCUGAUCCAGCCAUGCCGCGUGCAGGAUGAAGGCCUUCGGGUUGUAAACUGCUUUUGUACGGAACGAAAAGGUUUGGCCUAAUAAGCUGAGCUCAUGACGGUACCGUAAGAAUAAGCACCGGCUAACUACGUGCCAGCCGCCGCCGUAA